AAGCCAGAGCUUGCUCUGGUGGAAAGUGGCGAACGGGUGAGUAACACGUGAGAAACCUGCCCCAAAGACUGGGAUAAGCCGAGGAAACUUGGUCUAAUACCGGAUACCUUCUUUUUAUCACAUGUUAAAAAGAAGAAAUGCUCCGGCGCUUUGGGAUGGUCUCGCGAUCUAUCAGCUUGUUGGUGAGGUAAAAGCUCACCAAGGCAUCGACGGAUAGCUGGUCUGAGAGGAUGUCCAGCCACAUUGGAACUGAGAUACGGUCCAAACUCCUACGGGAGGCAGCAGUAGGGAAUCUUGCACAAUGAGGGAAACCUUGAUGCAGCGACGCCGCGUGCGGGACGAAGGCCCUAGGGUUGUAAACCGCUUUCAGUAGGGACGAAAGUGACGGUACCUACAGAAGAAGCCCCGGCCAACUAUGUGCCAGCAGCCGCGGUGAUACAUAGGGGGCAAGCGUUGUCCGGAUUUACUGGGCGUAAAGAGCUCGUAGGCGGUUUACCAAGUCAGAAGUGAAAUCUCCGUGCUCAACACGGAGCGGCCUUUUGAAACUGGUAUGACUUGAGUAUGGUAGAGGAGUGUGGAAUUCCCGGUGUAGCGGUGAAAUGCGCAGAUAUCGGGAGGAACACCUAUGGCGAAGGCAGCACUCUGGGCCAAAACUGACGCUGAGGAGCGAAAGCGUGGGGAGCGAACAGGAUUAGAUACCCUGGUAGUCCACGCCGUAAACGUUGGACACUAGGUGUGGGAUGCGAUCAACGCAUUCCGUGCCGAAGUUAACGCAUUAAGUGUCCCGCCUGGGGAGUACGAUCGCAAGAUU
rnacentral:rRNA from 1 species